rnacentral:rRNA from 1 species
UACAGAGGGGGCAAGCGUUGUUCGGAAUUACUGGGCGUAAAGGGCGCGUAGGCGGCCUGCUAAGUCGAACGUGAAAUCCCCGGGCUCAACCCGGGAACUGCGUCCGAUACUGGCAGGCUUGAAUCCGGGAGAGGGAUGCGGAAUUCCAGGUGUAGCGGUGAAAUGCGCAGAUAUCAGGAGGAACACCGGUGGCGAAGGCGGAUCUCUGGGCCAUUACUGACGCUGAGGAGCGAAAGCGUGGGGAGCGAACAGG